GGUAUUAUAUUUUAUAUAGAAAAUAUGACUUGCAAUCAUACAGAAAGAUUUAUCUUUAAUUCCU
rnacentral:tRNA from 1 species